GCUCGUGCUCAAAAGAGGAAAUGACGUAGUUACUUUUUGCCUCCGUACACAAACAAACAAACGUGGCUGCAAAAGAAUCUCUGAAGUACAGUGUUCGCUAGAAAUGUAGACAGACGGGAAAAAAUCCAAAGACAAUCGGACACUACACAUAAAAACUUUACGGAAGUAUCCACAGACACUGAAGGAAACACAGACUGAGACCUUCGACAGCACAAGACCAGCUAACAACAGAAGAAAGAGGAAAAAUCUGACGUGCAAGAGCAGAAGACUCAUAAUGCCUGGAUGAAAUCUCACAUUUAGAUGGAGGGGUGCCGACUACAGAUACAGAGGAAGAUACAAGGAACUAUUUAUUUUCAGUAACACACCCUCUUGCUAAUGCAAGUACAAUUAAUAUAGAAACUAGGAUACAUUUUUAAUGUUUUACUUUUUUUCUUAUUUUUGACAGCUACUUUUCUGUUACAACACUUGCUUGAAUUAUAUUUUACUUGAAUAGUUUUUAAUAAAACAUUUUGCACUCUAA